CAUCUUUAACGCACAUAGAUUCUGUUUCUUUCCAUUUUGAACAUCAAAAUUUUAACAGGAAGUUAACAUCACAAACAAACAGGCAGCAGUAUUGCUAAAUCAAACAUGGAGUUCAAAUCAGAACAACAACCAUGGUUCCCUCAGAAGGAUGCAAAGCAUAAUCGAAACAUAGAAAUAAAGCUCGGAAAGGAAGCUAACCGGUUGCGGCGAGCUCGACCGACGAAUGUGAGUAAGCGUUUCGCCGGAACAUUUUCCCCUUCUUGUCCGCUCUUCAACACCAAGAAAAACUAUGGCUUUCUUUUCUCCUUGCCGUCGACUCCUCUUUCUCUUAGUGAACAGUAACGGCGCUUUGUGUUUUUCAGAAUCCUCCCUUCCUUGUGGGUGAACAGUGGCGGCUAUCCAAACUUAGGUUUUUUCGUGAAUAGUGAUUGCUUUUUAUAUAUGACUCAUCUCCUCUCUGCUGUGUUGUUGUCUUUCCUCAGAGUAGUGGAGGUCUGCUGUGCAGUGGAGAGGUUUUGAAUUUUGUCCAUAUCCAACUUGUGGUUCCCUUCUCAAUUCUCUUCAUUUUGAAAACUUUACUGUUGUAGCUUCGAUGUGGAUUUGGUUGGAUCACAUUCACCCCACCUUGUGACGAUAAUGAAUUGAUGUUGGUCUGUUGAGGAGUGCCAACAUUGUUGUUGCUGCUGUUGUCUCAGCAUUUUCUGCAGUAGCAUCAGGUUCAUUUGCUCCACCAAAAGACGGCCAUCCAGUUUUCUUUGUGACAAUCCAUUCAUAAGAGAAGACUGAGUCAACAAAUUCUCAUCCUUGUUCACAUAAGACCAUCUAGCUUGGACCAAACCUAGUUCAGGAUUGUCCUUGAAAUGUGGCACAGUUUUCUUAAGAAAAUCAGGAUUUGGUUGAAAGUCUGCAUCAAAUAUUGCAACAUAUUCAUAGUCUUUCACAUAGCCAUAGCUCAUUGCAGAAUUAAGACUUCCAGCUUUGUGUCCAGUCCUGAUUAGGCGAUGCCGAUAGAUUUUGUUGAUUCCCUUUUGGUUCCACUUAGACACCUCGGCCUUAAUUAACCAUUGUAUGCUUUCGUCAUCAGAAUCGUCACUUGAAUCAGUAAACGAUCCCCUGGCCAUCAGAUAACUCCCUCUUCCAAUACUGGGAGCAAAUCACAAUUAUCGCAGUAACCACAGUUAAGCAUUGUGAUUCCAAUCCAUUAACAGAUCUUACUACGAUCCACGUGAUUCAAGAUCGAUACCGAAUUCAUGCUAUGCUUAACAUUCAGGCCAUGUACAAGAUGAUAUCCGUAAUCCUGCAAAACUUCGGCAACGACACAACUGUAUUAUGACCCGAAGUCCUGCAGCAGAACCAUCAUCAAUUAUCGCAACCUCCAACUGCCAACGAACCCAAAACGAUGGUAAAAACGAGAACAAGUUGCAGCCACACGUGAAACUCUCAAGUCCAUGGUUGUAUAACAUAAUUCCAUCAACAUACAUGUCGUUCCAGCUUGGACCUGAACGAAUCCGCUUAGCAAUAGCCUCGUGACCAUUGGCCAAUUGUUCAUUAUCAUGAGGAACUGGUCUUUUCCUAGAUAAUUCCCCAGAAGCUGGCAACUAAGUUGAUGGUUGGUUAUCCUUGCCAACUCGAGCAUCACGGGCAAAGCGAUCACCGCUUUUAAUCAUUUUGUCUACUUGCCGAAUCACCUGAUCAGCAGCAUCUCCUGCACUCAUAGCUCACAGGCUCCUUAUCAGUCUUUCUCUUGAAUCUAUUUUUGGAGAAUAAGUGCAUCUUAGAAACCCCAAAAAAACUGUUCUUAAAGAGUACUGAAUACUGACAAGAUGACAUCCUUUUACUGUUUGAACAUUUGGAUCAAAAUCAAGCAGAGCUGAGAGGAUAGUACCAUAGUGUUGUUGGAAGGACUUGAAAGCUAUCAUUACCAAUGCAGAAAAAUGCCAAGAGCUCUUCAUGAAAAAAAAACUACAAAUUGUUUCCAAGAUAUUUCUGUAACUAUUUCUGCAGUUGUGGAGAAUAAGGUAUAACUUCCAUAUCAUAGUAUCUUCCCCGGAACCAGAAUCAUCAAAUAAACUCUAUAGCGGACGGGAUCUCGCAUGAAGCAGCUUAUGAUACUGAAACUGUUCAGCUUUCCUUAGCGCGAUAACAGAUGCAUCAGUAAAAAAAAACAUUCUGAAGAACAAUACUAGAUUGCAGAAGCCAUUCUGCAGCAAGUUGAGUGAAUGUAAUGGAGCUACCUUGGAUUCUUUCCUGCAGGCUCUUCGUGCAGUUUUUGGAAUAAAAUCACACAACUUUUUUUGUUAAAUCAAAAUUUUCACUUUCUUCUUGUUGACUAGUACCAAAUCUGGAAUGAGAAUGCAUUUUUAUCUCCUUGAAAUUGCAAGUCUAUGAUCAUCUGAGCAUACAUUUCCUUGGAGAUUCAUAUUAUCUUCCUUGGUCUCACUUGGAAUAUUUCUGUUUCUCUUAGACCAAAUUGGAUUCAAGAUUUGACCUGCACUUUUAACAAUGAGUUGGCUUUCUUCGGACUCUCCGCUGCGAGAUAUCCUUUUUCUUGGCUUACCAGCACACUGUGUUUUGGAUUGAUGUUUUCGAAAAGGAGGUAUGAAUUGAAUUAAGAAGAGCUUGUUGAAUCUUGAGAGACGCCGGCGUUUACUGCGAGGACGCUUUGCCGGGAUCAAUGGUAACUCAAAGUUGGAGUUCUCAACUGAGGAAUAACUACUGCUUUCGAAAACUGAAAUUGGGUUGUAGGUUUGGCAUUGGAGCAAAUUUGUUCCCUUGAAAGAGAAGUUUUGGAUUGGAAUAGUUUUGCCAUAUUUAGCUCCAGCAAUCUUUUUAAGCUCGAAUUAACAAUAUUUCUUCGAUCAGUAUCAGAAAGUUCAGAAGCAGAGAAAUUGUUCACAAGAUUUGGUUUCUCAUUUUGAGUUUCGCCGCACAAAUCAAACGAUGGUACUGAGAAAACACCAAGAGAUGGCUCUUCAAUGUGUUUGAAUUGAUCAUUCCAAUCUUGUUCCACAACAUCAGUUUCCACAUCAUCAUCAAGUGGAAAAAAAAAAAAAACAACAUCACCAAGAAUCUCAUCCGACACACCGUUAAAAUUGUUGUCGAAAAACCAACAGUUCUUCAUAUUAACAUUAUCCGGAACUGAACUGGAAGUUUAAACGGCGGUGGCGGUAGAGUGAAUGAUGAAGAGAUGAGGAAGCACUUAUCUGCUGCUGCACUUGAAUGAUGAUGCCGAACUAUUUGCUCUAUGAAUGUCAAGAGCCAUUUGACAGAGUUUCUCUGCUUCAUUAAAUUGCAAAGCUUGAACAUUAGCUUCAAAUUCAAAUUCUCUCUGAUUCUUAGUGAUUUUUCUUUUCACUGCAGCCUGACUACUAUGUUCUAAUGUUGCCUUAUGAUGUUCCAUAGGUGCUCUUUCCCAUUAUCUCAACAGUUGUACACAACAGAUCGCCGGCCAUGAAAGCGAACGGUCCAUCAUAAUGUACUAAUUUGCCUCCCGCAUCAACGUCCUCUUAGGAAAUUUGACAGGGAGCUUUCAUCAGAAUCAUGGCGGAAGCUUGAAGAGCAAGGGGUCAAUAUUUCUAAACACCACAAGCAGACCAUUCAGUAUAUACUGCCACACGAACAUGAAAAGCUUUCACAAGUGGAAUCAUUGGUUGUCGACGGAGCAGCUGCUAUUCCGCUGCCAAUGGUGAAGUCUUUACUUGGCCCAUACAUGGUCUCCUUGUCUUCUACCGUUAAUGGCUAUGAAGGAACCGAACGCUCUUUGUUUCUAAAACUUGUACAGCAACUCGCAUACGGUCAUAAACAACACAUCAACAAUAGCAUGAUGCAAUACUCAUAUUGCAGCCCUGUCAUUGCCAUAUUCUAACUUCAACAAAUGAGCUCAAAAAAACACCUGCAUAAAAACAACGACAUAGUAGGAAAAAAAUUGCCGACACAGCAUAAACGAAUGAUCCAAGCACCAAACGUAUGGCCAUGUAUCUGUCAUUUCGGUUCAGCAGCCAGGUAUGUAUCGAAACAUCUUUCAACAUGACAUUCCAAAGCAAUGCAAUACAAAAAUGGCAUCAAGCAUCAAUUCACAAACAUGCAACCAAUCAGGAAAAUCCAGUAAAAUAGAAGUACAAAGAGUUGGAAUUAUCUUUUUGCAAUCCGACUUUAGGUGUGGGAGCCUAUGGCUGCGUGAUUCCUUCGCCGUCCUUUACAAAGGUUCUCCAUCACCCCAUUCGGGUCCUUUUGGAACCAUACUCUCAGCAGCAAAGUUGGCAAAUAUACCUUGUGUCCAUCCAGAAGAUCGAACUCGUAAUAUCCUUUCACAAUAUCGCCUCAAUUCGGAGUCAAGGCCCUCGUCUUCCAAUUUCCGAGCAAUACGCCGCAUGGCGCUGGGAUUAAGGUGGCAUGUAAAUAGAUUAAGCAUGCCUUCAUAAUCCGCUAUAACUUCAAAUGUUUCUUUUGCACUAUCAAAUUGACCAAACCUGAUACACGCAUAAGCCAACUUCCUGAACUGGUGAACAAAUGAGAUGUGGGAGGACAUCUUGGAUAAUCUCUGGAACACAGAAAUUCAUCUUUCAAAACAGAUAAAGCAGUGGAAAAACGAAAAGCAUUAACAACAUAGACACCUCGCAUCACCUGGGUGAACUGUGGCACCUGUUUCAGAAAGCUGAACCUUAGAUCUCAUGGAAAAGUAAGCACUUUCAAGAUGGCCUAUGCCUCUCAUUAAUCUCAUUCCAGUUGUAUUAGAGAUUGGGGAUACUGUGGGCAGCAUUUCUACACUCAAAAGUUCCUUUCUAAGAGGCAUAAUCUCUUUCUGACAAGAGUAAUUGUUCUGCAGGCCAGAGGAAACAAAGGAUUUUCUUGAGCUAUGCCUCCUCUCUGCCUCUUCUAUAUCUGAUUCCAAGCACUUUAAUUGUUCAAACAAUUUGGAGGCAUCGCUCUGCUUCUGCUCUUUCGAUGAGAUGAGGAAAUGCAAUAAUAAUUCUGACUCAACAUCUUCUUUAUCUAUACAUGAUGACAAUUCCUCACUACAUAGCUCCUGUAAUUCAUUAAUCACUUCGGAUUGUAGGAUUUCCCCUUUAUGCGUCACAUGUCGAUCCAUCCAGCAAACUAUGAUGUCACGUAGAGGCUUGGAGUUUCAAAUGCAACUGAGCAAAUACUAUCUGAUUCAUACUUUUUUAGCUGGAUCUUGUUUUGGAUCCAUUAUUACAAUUAUUUUGCUGACUAGAGUAUUUUGCUAAAUAAAUGACUCCAUUAUUAGUGACUCCAUUCUUUUGUCUUGUUAAAGUAUGCGUAUUCGUCAG